AAGGUCCUUCGGCAAAUGGACAAAGUGUAUACAGAAAUCGAGUGAUUAUGUCAAAAAAUGAUGUAUGUCUUUUUUGACAAUUGCUUAAAAUAAAUUCUACACCGACAGAGCGGGCUGUUAAUCUAGAGGCUGGAGUACAAAGAAGUGGCACAAUGAUGUGGGCUGAUGACAUUUAUAAUUAUCAAGGAAUCACCCCUACAUUCGCUCAGAAUUUUAAUGAAACUGUCCCUUGGGAAGGAAGAACUGAUACCUUGAUAUCACGGUUUGUACAUCCUAUAUAUACGACAAAUUUUAGAACAUUAUAUAACGAAGAACCAGAUCGUCGUGGCCAUGUGAUGUGAAUAAAAGGACUUGAAUUUGAUGAUAUUUUUAUAAUGUUAGAUAACAUAACUAAGUAUCUUCACAGUAAGAUAGGAUGACAUGGUUUACAUGAUCUUAAUGUUGUUCACUCGAGUGAUGAUAUUAUAAGGAAAAGUGUAAUAUCACAGGUAGGAUGAUUCAUAAUUUAGAACUACUAACUCAUGUAUGUAUUAAAAAUUAAAGAAAUAUAUUAAAUUUUAUAGGAUAUUUAUGUUUAGUAACCAGUAAUUCAGAGAUUGGUAUUCAUGGUUACUAUAACGAGGCUGUAGAAACGCACCCUUUCUUCUUUGCAAAUGGUCCUGUAUUUAUGUCUAAGCCGAAACUGGAACCUCUGAAUAAUUUAGAUUUAUUCUUGUUAUUUUCUAAAAUACUUAUCUACAGUAUACCAUAAGGAAUGAUACCGUAUCGCACCUAAUCAAGUGCCUUAAGAAACAUCAACAGGAUAUCACAGUAAUCCCUUAUCGACUGAUAUUUGUAGCCACUACAAUAUCUAUGACACUGGUAGUAAUUAUAAGAACAAUAAUGAUGUUCUAUAAGAGGAAAUGAUGAUUAGGAACAAAAACUUACAGGAGAUAUCAUGCGGUGGAUGGAUAAUAUGUAAAAAAUAUUAAGCAGUAUAUGAAUUUUCAUAUUGCGUAGAGAUAACAAAAUGAAUUUUAAAAAAUGUCGACAUGGUAAUAAGAAAUAGCAUCAUGACAAAGAAUAUAUAAACACAGUUUCAUUUUUUAUAAAUAAAAAUUUGUUGUUCCAGAUUUUGAAAUAUAGUGAAACGUUUAAUUAGUAUCUAAUAUCUUUAAAUAAUUAUUAUUUUAGAAUCAAUUGUAAUUGUAUCAUACGUACUUUUGAAUUCGUGCAAGAACAUAUGUUAUUUUGAAGUAGUUAUUAUUAGGAAAUUGUUAGACGCGAACAGUAUGCGAAAAGUUAGUAUGUAGUGUAAUAAUUAUCAAUCAAAGCACAAGAAUUAA